GCCGGGUGUGGUGGUGCACGCCUGUAAUCCCAGCAGCUCAGGAGGCUGAGGCUGGAGGAUCGCAAGCUCACAGCCGGUCUCAGCAACUGGGUGAGGCCUGAGCAACUUAGUGGGACCCUGUCUCAA
rnacentral:sRNA from 1 species